AGGCAGUGCACCGACUUCUAACAUGCAGUCCAACGUGAUGGGGACCCUGCCUGAGAUGUAGACAGCCUGACAGGGCCGAAGCCAACUCACAAUGAGGAGAUGGACACGGUUUGGUCCCCUGGAGCUGUCCUUGUAGGUAAUCUCUGAGUAUUAAAAGGAUCAGCAAUGAAGGAUUAAGCUUUUUGAUUGCAGGUGCCAUCGAGGUAAUCUUUGGGAGCAGAUGAGCAUUGGAGGUAACCCAGAAGAUGACAGCACAUUGUCCGACUCGAGUCAGAGCCAGCGACCCGAGGCCCUGCCUCGGUGAGAGUGAGUAGAGGGAUUAUGGUGGCUGGGGCCAUGUGCCACACUACUGAGAUCUGGUGUCUGGUUUUCUUUCUUGCAGUUGACUCCUAGUAGUCUCAUGAUGGCAGGAAUGUCUGAGCCAGCCCAGGUGCCCCUCCUGUGCAUCCAAGAUGGAUUCACAUCCCCGGCUCUCGGCAAGAUAAGUGCAGGGCAAAGCCCCAGAGAGGGGUUGGGAGUGGGUGCAAGUCUGUGCCUGGCCUGGAGGGAUUUUUGCAAUUAGUCCAGUGCAGUGGGUAUCCUGGAACAGGUUAUUUGGAUGCAUCAGAGGAAGGGCUUACUUUGUAUCACUGGAUUCACAUGUGCAGGGCAGAGCAGUUCUGGUGUGUGUCAUGUCCUUUGUCUCGUCUGUGUUUUGUGUCCUUCGUCUCUUAAUUGUGUCACGUGGUGUGUGUUGUCACAGGUGUGGGGUGUCUCACUUGGGGUCAGCCUGGAACUGCUCUGCUUUGCUACGUGGAUCAGUGGGUAGAUAGAAUAUUGCUCAGAGUCUGUCCAGUCUGUGAGCAGGAUGGUCUUGCGAUGCCCUGCUUGGGUGUAUAGCGUCCCGGCUAGGUAGAGUAGGAACCAGUGUCUAGGGUUUAGAGGUUUUUGUCUUUCGUUGUGAGCAAUCCCUAAAUGUUGGAGGGCUGAGUGUUUGAGCAUUUGCCCAUUUCAUUUGCAGGGGCGGUCUUGGGAGCAGCUGAAGAGAGAGGAGCCUUGUAGGUGAGUCGGGGAGGCAGCAGGAGGAGCGGGGAUCCCCUGCAGCUUUAGAGAUGCCCUCUAAUUUUGUCUCUCACUCACUCAGUUGACUCCGAGUAGUCUGACGAUGGCAGGAACCUCUGAGCCAGCCCAGGUGCCCCUCGUCUGCAUCAAAACUGGAUUGGCAUCCCCGGCUCUCGGAAAGAUAAGUGCAGGGCAAAGACCCAGAGAGGGGCUGGGAGUCAGUGCAAGUAUAUGUGCCUUGCCUGGAAGGGUUUUUGAAAUUAGUCCGGUGCAAGGGAUAUCCUAUAACAGAUUAUUUGUACGCAUCAAAGGAAGGGCUUACUUUUUAUCAUUGGAUUCCCGUGUGCCGGGCAGAGCAGUUCCAGUCUGUGUCAUGUCCUUUGUCUCGUCUGUGUUUUGUGUCCUUCGUCUCUUAAUUGUGUCACGUGGUGUGUGUUGUCACAGGUGUGGGGUGUGUCACUUGGGGUCAGCCUGGAACUGCUCUGCUUUGCUACGUGGAUCAGUGGGUAGAUAGAAUAUUGCUCAGAGUCUGUCCAGUCUGUGAGCAGGAUGGCCUUGUGAUGCCCUGCUUGGGUGUAUGGAGUCCCAGCUAGGUAGAGUAGGAACCAGUGUCUAGGGUUUAGAGGUUUUUGUCUUUCGUUGUGAGCAAUCCCUAAAUGUUGGAGGGCUGAGUGUUUGAGCAUUUGCCCAUUUCAUUUGCAGGGGCGGUCUUGGGAGCAGCUGAAGAGAGAGGAGCCUUGUAGGUAUCCCGGAAGGUGACAGCCACAGUGUCGGACUCCGGUCAGAGCCAGGGUGCUGUUGAGUUGGAGAAACCCCAUGACCUCACGAUGGGGCGACUGACCCAGAUUGGUCAUCUUGGGCUGUCCUCGUGUGCAAUCUCCGAGAUUUAAAAGGAUGAGCAAUGAGGCACUGAGCUUUAGUGCUGGCAGGUGUCAUCUGG